CCUGCCCUUCCGCCUUUUCUAUCUCUUAAGGAAUAGCAAAUGCUUCACACGAUUUUCAUACCCUCACUCUCAGAUUCCCUCACUAUUUAAACCUUCCCCGACUAAGUGUGGGACCCGGCCUUAGCAGCCAAAGUCAUUAAUCCAUACCUAUUGUCCUUCAAAACCAAGAAAUUGUUUCAGCUCCAAACCAAACUGAUAGAACUCCGGCCAAGCUCACUUAUUUCCUUGGCAUUGAAGUGUCAUAUCCACUAGAAAGGGGUUUAUUUCCGUCUUAGGAGAAAUACAUUACUGAUUUACUACACAAAACAAAGAUGUUUAAAGCAAAUGAAAUUGCCACCCCAAUGAUCAGCUCUCCAAUACACUCAGCUACUGGCAGUGAAUCCUUUGCAGACCCUCAUUUAUACAUAAGUACUGUAGGAGCUCUUCAAUAUGCCACUAUCACAAGACUAGAAAUUGCCUACUCAGUCAAUCGUGUUUGCCAGAAGCAUAAGCCAACAAUUUUUUCAUUGGAAAGCAGUGAAGAGAAAUCUGAGAUAUCUAAAAGGCACAUCCCAAUCAAGUCUGUAUUUGAGAAAACCAACUCAUUUCAAUGUUCAACCGUUUGCUGAUGCUAAUUGGGCUUCAGAUCCAAAUGAUAGAAGAUCCACUUCAGGCUUAUGCAUCUACUUUGGUGGAAACUUAAUAACUUGGGGUUCCAAGAAACAGCAAACAUAGAUCUAGCACUGAAGCUGAAUUCAGAUGUCUUGCUACUGCUACUCAAGAACUUAUAUGGAAUUCAUUGUUCAAAGAAUUGAAAACUCAACUACCAAAACCACCUAUCCUAUGGUGUGACAACCUUGGAGCUGUUCACUUAAGCGCUAAUCCCAUUUUACACUUAAGAACAAAGCAUGUAAAGAUAGACAUACACUUUGUUAGAGAUCUGGUUAUGCAGCGGAAAAUGCUCAUUCAACAUCUUCCAACUACGACAUAGAUUACAUAUAUUCACCGAGCCUCUGUCUGCACAUUCAUUUCUUCCUCUAAGGACAAAAUUAUGUGUUAUAAAUGCUGCAAACAUAGGCUUGAGGGCGGAUAUUAAGGCGAUCCAUUAAAGAGUUGGUUAUAACUGUUGAUGUAAAUUCUGUUUUUAUUGUUUUAAGAACUACUUCUUAUAUAUUGGAUAGUUCUUCAAUCACAAUCCAAUAAGAAAAUAUUCUUUCGUGAUUGC